ACGAACGCUGGCGGCGUGCCUAAUACAUGCAAGUCGAACGCUUCUUUCCUCCCGAGUGCUUGCACUCAAUUGGAAAGAGGAGUGGCGGACGGGUGAGUAACACGUGGGUAACCUACCCAUCAGAGGGGGAUAACACUUGGAAACAGGUGCUAAUACCGCAUAACAGUUUAUGUCGCAUGGCAUAAGAGUGAAAGGCGCUUUCGGGUGUCGCUGAUGGAUGGACCCGCGGUGCAUUAGCUAGUUGGUGAGGUAACGGCUCACCAAGGCCACGAUGCAUAGCCGACCUGAGAGGGUGAUCGGCCACACUGGGACUGAGACACGGCCCAGACUCCUACGGGAGGCAGCAGUAGGGAAUCUUCGGCAAUGGACGAAAGUCUGACCGAGCAACGCCGCGUGAGUGAAGAAGGUUUUCGGAUCGUAAAACUCUGUUGUUAGAGAAGAACAAGGACGUUAGUAACUGAACGUCCCCUGACGGUAUCUAACCAGAAAGCCACGGCUAACUACGUGCCAGCAGCCGCGGUAAUACGUAGGUGGCAAGCGUUGUCCGGAUUUAUUGGGCGUAAAGCGAGCGCAGGCGGUUUCUUAAGUCUGAUGUGAAAGCCCCCGGCUCAACCGGGGAGGGUCAUUGGAAACUGGGAGACUUGAGUGCAGAAGAGGAGAGUGGAAUUCCAUGUGUAGCGGUGAAAUGCGUAGAUAUAUGGAGGAACACCAGUGGCGAAG
rnacentral:rRNA from 1 species